AUGUUUGAGACGAUUACAUUAAAAACAUUUAUAUAUUGUGCUCACCUGAAGUAGCUGUUUCAGCUAAAAAAGCAAAGCAGGAGUACGACAAGGAUAUGUUUUCCUUCCACCCUCAUUAUGAUGAAAUGAUGAGCGUUGUUUGCUGCAGUGUCGCCCAGUGUGUCCGUGGGUUGUUGUAGUUGUAUUA